rnacentral:rRNA from 1 species
UGCGUAGGCGGGUUUCUAAGUCAGAGGUGAAAGCCUGGAGCUCAACUCCAGAACUGCCUUUGAUACUGGAAGUCUUGAGUAUGGCAGAGGUGAGUGGAACUGCGAGUGUAGAGGUGAAAUUCGUAGAUAUUCGCAAGAACACCAGUGGCGAAGGCGGCUCACUGGGCCAUUACUGACGCUGAGGCACGAAAGGCUGGGAGCAAACA